AAUGACUUCAUGAAGGAGAGAGAAUGCUUUGAGGAGUGUCCCGUCCCUUAGAGUCAGGAUAGAGUGUGAGUCUGUCAUCACGAGACGAGCACCAGAGGGACAAAAUAACACGACUCCUCUGACUGUUCAGGAGAGCUGUCUGAAGGGACUGUAUCUCCAGAGGGGGAAGGAAACAAGAACAAAGGAGACGACGAGUUGGCGAUGGAAUAAGCGAGCUGUAAAGAGCCACGGCCUCACACCUGAACCUGCUUUUAAGGACUCAAACUCACAGAAGAGGAAAGGCCAUUAGUUGGACUGCGUCGCCCUCUACAGGAAAAAACUGACACCUUCACUUUCUUUUUGUCUCUUUUAUUUAUUAACUGUUUUUACUUUGAUAAUGUGUAUGCUCCCAGGCUAUUGUAUGCAGAGCUUGCGGCUCAACCCGUGUGCAUUAAUCCUACCCUCCUGCUUCCUGAUGAAUACAACACAGAAGAAUAUGUAAUGACCUUAUGAUGGGGGGAGGGGGGGAGGUACAUCAAAGAAGAGCCUUUGCAAGACACUGAAAAUGCUGCUGUUCAAUUUCAUUUAUUUUGUUGCCAAACUCAGUCACGUAGCCGUUCUAUUCACGUCCUACUUCUCACUUCUGUUGUGUGCUUCUCUGUCGACACUCAAGACGCGUUUUGUCUGGUAAAAAGAUUUAGAAAAAUGUUUGCGUAACAUUUCUUUUUACAAUCAAACACUUGAAAUGAUGAAGGCACUUGCAAGUGACACGGUAGUACCACAUGUAAACCAUACUCUGGCGUUUUUAUUUGUACCUCUUUACUUAAGAUUUAAUUAAACAUUUUCCCGUUGCUGCAGGAGCUCCGGCUGAGUCUCUUCUGUUUGCCGAGGCUCCUACGAGAAACCAGUCGUCGCUCAUAUUUUUCCCCUUAACAUGUUUACUUUUUUUGUGCAAUUCUAAUGCGUUUGUGAUCCUUGCGGCCAUACGUGUAUUGUUUUUGUGUGUUCCUGUCCUCUUUACUGUAUAUAUUGACAGUGUGUAUGGAUCUGAGAAGUAGAAAUCCUACAAUUCCACAAUUCAUCAACAGAUAUUUUCUUUUUGGGUAUAUUCUAAGAUAUCGUUGUGAGAAUUGUCCCAAAAUUAGAAAGCAACUUUUGCAUCUCAAAUAUAUCUCACAUUCCCGUUUUUUGUAAUAUGCGAAAUGUUUUUCUUUUGUAACAAUCGUACUUUGUUUUGCAUCUGCCGUGUCCCGUUUGAAUCAUGCACUCGACGUGUUUAACUUUAUGUCAUUUCUUUGUCAAAAGACUUCUUCUCGAUGCCUUCUUAUAUGUAUUUAAUCCGUAGCAAAAAAAAAGUCACGAUUGUCGCUGAAUUAGAGAAAAAGCUCACGCGUGUAUUUUAUUUUGCAGUUAUGUCGCAGCAGCUUCGCCGAUGAGGCUGUUGGUGUGAUGUUGUAAUCGACGUGUUUACCGUGUGCUCGUACUCUUCUUAGCCAGUUGACUCCAUCGUGCUUCUGCGACGCGUCCGAGGCGAUGAGUCCAAACUGUACCUGCUUCUUGUCUGUGUGCCAGGUUUUUAUGGCUUGUAAUGCUGCGUAUAUAGGAAAUGCAAAUAUCGCUUACUGUGCAUAUGUAACAUAUUGAAACUCUGCAAUGCUGGUUCAGCUUUUAUUAACACUUAAUAUGUGUCAUUCAAAGAAAAGAAGCAUUUUGGCAGUAUUCACCGAAUAAUGAAUAUGUUUUCCCGAAGGUUUUGCACUUAUAUUUUGUUUUCCCUUAUGUUUUACAUUAUUUUGGGAUGAGAAUCAUACAGGUUCUUGGCAUAUUAUUUUAAAGUAUACUGUACAUAUGUGUACUGUUACAUAGACUAAAACAUAAAGUAUAUAUGGGGUUCAAAGAAGGUGAAUAAUCCAGCAUCUAAACAUUUAUAUAUUACCGUAGGAAUGAUUUUAUAGCCUCUUUGUUUUAAUACACACUUCUCAUUUUUAUAUUAUCACAGGAAAGUAAUAUAUAAAUCAGUUUAUCACAUAAUGUAACCACAUGCAUCUUUCUACUUAAAAAAUACUGUCAGUGGUUAGCAAGACAGCUGGCUGAAUGUGUGCCUAUAAUAUGUGUACUUUCCAUUUCACACCUUUCACAUGGAAGAAAACUAAUCAUGUGAUGUCAUUUGAAUGUGUGCUGAUCCAGGUACAGUCAAACAAAGCAUUCAUAUCUUCCUACAAUUAUUCACACUGAAGAGUUUUCAUUCAAGACUUUCAUCUUAGACACUGUCGGAAAGUCUGUAAAGUCAGAAGUUUGAUGUCGCAGAAGUAUAGUAUUUAAGUGAUAGAUUAUUUUGCUCUUUUUCAUUUAGAAAACGUUAUUUUAUCGCUGUGUAGCUCUUUCUUUUGGUGUACUGUCCACUGGAUUGUCCAACAGUCUUCAACAUAUUAUGACGUUUUUAUGUUGUCACUCCUCUCUGGUUCAUCUGUCCCUGUGUGUGUCUUUUCCAUAUGUUUUAUUCCACCAGCUCUGAAGUCAGAAAAACAACUUAAGUGACUCAAGACUGUAAAUUCAAAGUGUAACAAUCAUAUAAACAUUAUAUUUAUUAAUAGAACACAUGCGACACGUAUUGUGUGCCCUACAAAUCCUGAUACUUAAAGCAGAAUCUAUUUUCUGUUCAAAGGGACCAACACAUGUACAGUCUUGUCGUUUGCUCUAUAUUCCACUUGCUCCUGUGUUAGGCUACACUGUAUGACUAUUUAAAAAUAGUUUAUACCAAUCAUAAUCAGAAACAUAGCUGUAUUUAUGACAUGUUCAGACCUCUAAACAUGGUGUUUUGUAACUGCUACUACAGAACAGAUUAAUUGUUGUUUGUUUAAUGCUGUUUCCUCGUUUCGUGUGAAUCACUCGGAUCUCAAACUGUUCUAGUGACCGAGGUUAGAUGUAAAGCGUGUGUGCGUGAGAAACUGCCGAAAAAUACUUAAUGUGCAUUUCUGAUCUCCUCACUGUGACCUGCUCUAUCGAUGUGAGUGUGAUGAGACGAGAGAGAGAGAGAGAGUGUGUGUGUGUGUGUGUGUGUGUGUAUGUGUAUGUGUGCAUCUGUGUGUGAGAGAGAGAGAGAAAUAGACACAAAAUGAUACAGUGGACUGUUUAAAGUUGGUACACAGCUCUCAAAUCCUCAUUAUCAAAAAAUAAAUGUCAGCAUUUUUAUUCCCAUCAAGAGAUUAAAUUCUCAUAUGUUUAAUAUAACACAUUAGGCCGAUACCACUGAAUAUGUUUUCAUAGAUAUAUAAAAACAGAAAUAUUAUAAAAGUCGAAUUAUAAAUGUUGUCAGCUGACAAAAGAAAACCUCCACUACAUCCAUGGAAAGACAGACGGACUAAGAGAGAGUGUGAGUGUGUGUGUGUGUGUGUGUGUGUGCGUGUGUGUGUGUGUGCAUGCAUGUGUGCGUCACUGUCCCAAUGCCGGCCAGGCGGCCGUGUGUGCCACCAUGCUCUGUGACUGCACAGCCGUAUCAAUAAAUCUGGACUUAAAGGGCUCA